rnacentral:rRNA from 1 species
AUGCAUAAAACAGAACCUAGGAUUUUUGAUCCUGCUGAUAUUACUAUGUUUUGUCCACAUACUCCAUGUUUCAUAAGGCACAGCGAGAUCGAGGGAUCCGCGUACCUUAGGGAUGACCGCCUGACGAUCGAAUGCGUCGUCACUGUUUUCAAGAAGCCACAUGUUACCGAAACAAAAUCAUUCCCUAAAAUCAGCAUGCCGCCAGCUGGCAUGACUGAGGAUGUUGCCAAGCUACUUGAAGAGAAGAAGGGAUUUGAUGUCGGUUUCAUUGUCGGAGGAGAGACCAUUGAAGCGCAUAGGUUUGUUCUCGCUAUGCGGUCGCCUGUUUUCGAAGCGGAGCUCAUGGGCCGAUGCAGGAGGCGAGGCCGGGACAAUGCAUAA